GCCUCAGCCUCCUGAGUAGCUGGAAUUACAGACAUGGAGUGUUCUUCAUUUUUAACCAUCAGUGUCUAGGUGUACAUGAAACUCCUUCGGAUUUUGUUUUCACCCCUUCUCACCCAACCUUCUUUUUACAACUGCUCUCAAUUAUGAGCAGCACUUUACAUUUUUUAAAGUACACAUGACUUAACAUAAGUCAUCAGAGAAAAAACAUUAGGCCUUAUGUUAAAGAACUUUUUCACAUAUCUUAUCAUUUUAUAAGAUUUAAAGCUUUAUGAAGACAUGGAACUGUUUCUUGUGUAGCACUUUACACAUAGGCAGUACUCAUUAUUUAUUAAGUGUUAAAGGAGUGAAAGCCCUCUUGACACUAUUCUAUAGUUGUGUUAUCUGUAUGUUUUUUUCUGGGCCACAGAAAAUUAAAUUGAGUAAACAAAGCAUUGGCACAAAGCUUGACAGAUAGGAGAAAGUUGAAAUCCUAACAGAGACAAAGAAAGAAGUAUAAAUGAAGAUAAUGAAACUCAAAAUAUACAUAAAAAAUAAAUAUAACACGUAAUAAAGAAUAUAAAAGACAAUGCAGUGUAGGGGUGAAUUAACAAAUUCUGUUUUUGAAAGACUGUAUGUACCUUCUACUCUGCGCAGUAGGCUACACAGACAUUGACUAUCACAGUAUUUUAAAGGAGCACAUUCUGUUUUAUGAAAGACUAUCUUGCUCCAUUAAGGACCUGGGACACUGUUCAACCAGUGUAAAACCAAAGCUUAUAAUCAUAGCACUUAGAAAACUAAAUUUAUCUAGAAAGCUAAAAUUAUGAUAAUGUUUUCUGUUUUGUAACUCCAAAUGUGGAAUGCUUUCUAAAUAUAUAUUACAUAUAUAUUUAAA